rnacentral:tRNA from 1 species
GGGGAUGUAGCUCUGUGGUAAAGUGUUUGCCUAGCAUGUAUGAAGCCCUGGGUUCAAUCCUCAGCAUCUUAG